GCUUGAGUAGUUUAGCGGUUAAAACUUUAAUUUCAUACAUUAAAUACGAGAAUUCGAAUUUCUCCUCAAGCU